rnacentral:rRNA from 1 species
UACGUAGGGUGCGAGCGUUGUCCGGAAUUAUUGGGCGUAAAGGGCUCGUAGGCGGUUUGUCACGUCGGGAGUGAAAACACCGGGCUUAACUCGGUGCUUGCUUCCGAUACGGGCAGACUAGAGGCAUGCAGAGGAGAACGGAAUUCCUGGUGUAGCGGUGAAAUGCGCAGAUAUCAGGAGGAACACCGGUGGCGAAGGCGGUUCUCUGGGCAUGUCCUGACGCUGAGGAGCGAAAGUGUGGGGAGCGAACAGG